ACUCCCAUGGCGUAGUGGUCACUGCGCUCGCCUUGCACCCGGGACACCCGGGUUCGAUUCCCGAUGGGGUCA
rfam:Asian citrus Psyllid, Diaphorina citri - Florida Strain, whole genome shotgun sequence.